UACGAAGGGGGCUAGCGUUGCUCGGAAUCACUGGGCGUAAAGCGCACGUAGGCGGCUUCUUAAGUCAGGGGUGAAAGCCUGGAGCUCAACCCCAGAACUGCCUUUGAUACUGAGGAGCUUGAGUCCGGGAGAGGUGAGUGGAACUGCGAGUGUAGAGGUGAAAUUCGUAGAUAUUCGCAAGAACACCAGUGGCGAAGGCGGCUCACUGGCCCGGUACUGACGCUGAGGUGCGAAAGCGUGGGGAGCAAACAGG
rnacentral:rRNA from 1 species